UACAGAGGUCCCAAGCGUUGUUCGGAUUCACUGGGCGUAAAGGGUGCGUAGGUGGUUGGGAAAGUUUGAUGUGAAAGCUCGGAGCUUAACUCCGAAAUGGCAUUGAAUACUUCUUAACUUGAGGGUCGGAGGGGAGACUGGAAUUCUCGGUGUAGCAGUGAAAUGCGUAGAUAUCGAGAGGAACACCAGUGGCGAAGGCGAGUCUCUGGACGACUCCUGACACUGAGGCACGAAAGCUAGGGAGACGA
rnacentral:rRNA from 1 species